UACGUAGGUCCCGAGCGUUAUCCGGAUUUAUUGGGCGUAAAGCGAGCGCAGGCGGUUAGAUAAGUCUGAAGUUAAAGGCUGUGGCUUAACCAUAGUACGCUUUGGAAACUGUUUAACUUGAGUGCAGAAGGGGAGAGUGGAAUUCCAUGUGUAGCGGUGAAACGCGUAGAUAUAUGGAGGAACACCGGUGGCGAAAGCGGCUCUCUGGUCUGUUAACUGACGCUGAGGCUCGAAAGCGUGGGGAGCAAACAGGAUUAGAUACC
rnacentral:rRNA from 1 species